CACGGGGGGAGCAAGCGUUGUUCGGAUUCAUUGGGCGUAAAGGGCUCGUAGGUGGCUUUGUAAGUCGGAGGUGAAAUCCCAUGGCUCAACCAUGGACACGCCUUCGAAACUGUGAAGCUUGAGGCUGGGAGAGGAGAUCGGAAUUCCUGGUGUAGCGGUGAAAUGCGUAGAUAUCAGGAAGGACACCUAUGGCGAAGGCAGCUCUCUGGGACGGUACUGACGCUGAGACGCGAAAGCGUGGGGAGCGAACAGG
rnacentral:rRNA from 1 species